rnacentral:lncRNA from 1 species
GUAAAUCACAGUUUUGAGAGAAACUUUAAAGCUGGGGACUGAAAUGCACUUUUCGAAAGCUUGAGGCUGUAAUACGGAUUUUUCAGUAUUUCAAAUCGACCCGGCUCAAAAUCGGGAAUAACCAAAAUAUGGGCCAAAUUGAAAUAAUGCUAAAUAUCUCAAACUUAAAUUAGGGGACCAAAUUUGAAAUUACAGAAACCCUAACCCUAAAUCUGGGGUUAAAUUGAUAUUUUCCGAAACUUCAUAAACCUAAUUUUCCUUCUCCAGCAAAAUCAAUCGCCGCAAGAUCUCUCUUCAACCUCAAAACCGCUGCCCACCCUUAAUACCAUAAACCGCCGUCCGCCGCUGCGUUACCCACAAAACAACCAUCGCCGGAAAUGAGAUCCAGACAAUCCUCUCGCCGGCGGAGUCCACCGUCGGCGAUCCGCUGAUCUCCUUUGGCGAAUAGCACGACCAAUCGUCGCGAAAGACGAGGGACGCGUGAAUCUUCUUAUUCGCCGCCGGAAAUUAAACUAUGGUUGUCGGAUUUACCCUUUUUUUUUUUUUUUGUUGACUGAAUUGAGGUUGAUAUGAUGCUUGAACUGGUGGGUUGCUGACUUUAAUGGCGGUGGUAACCUGAACUGAACCGGCGGCAGUGGGCGGUCGGGGAGGUUAGGACUUUCUUGGUGUUGCCGUACGGGUGGCUCGGCCGGGCAAACAUUACCGGCUGCCAUCCAAUAACCACCAAGUUGGAAUUUUCAGAUUUAAACCCUAAUCCUCAG